rnacentral:rRNA from 1 species
UACGUAGGGGGCUAGCGUUGUCCGGAAUCAUUGGGCGUAAAGAGCGUGUAGGCGGUCCGGUAAGUCCGCUGUGAAAGUCGGGGGCUCAACCCUCGAAUGCCGGUGGAUACUGUCGGGCUAGAGUGCGGAAGAGGCGAGUGGAAUUCCUGGUGUAGCGGUGAAAUGCGCAGAUAUCAGGAGGAACACCGGUGGCGAAGGCGGUUCUCUGGGCCUUACCUGACACUGAGGAGCGAAAGCGUGGGGAGCGAACAGG